AGUGCUUUAACUUGCUCUCCUAGAAUUAAAAUAAGCACGAUGGAGGAAGCCUGUUUUAUCUUUUCGUUUUCUUUUUUUGCAUUUCUUUUGCUGCUUUUGAUUUAUACAAAUGAUUCAUAUGAGUUGGGGUCUCAAAGCGAUUGUCAAAUUGUUUUUUUUUUCAGAAGUGGCAUAACACAAAGAAUGUAACAAUCAUGGUCCUGAAUAUGUCAUGGUUAUCUCUUGAAGCUCUUACUCUAGCUGCAUUCCGCACCAGAGGAUUGUGCUCGCUCUUGUUGGUACUACACUUUUUCUUCCACUCAACUUUCCAUUAAUGUAUUUGAAAUAUACCUCUCUGUUUAUUUAUUUAUUAUUUAAUUUACCUUUUAUUUAUACCGGUUGUCCGAUUGCGGUUUUCGGCUUCAGUGACACCAAAACAACUCUUGUACCGUAAAACACCGUGUAUGGAUUAGACUUUAUUCUGUAGUUUAAACGCGUUUUUCCAUGUGUGUGCUUACUACACUUUCUCUCCCACUCAACUUUCCAUUAAUGUAUUUGGAUACAGCACAAUAUGAACCAGUGCGCGUGUGUGUGUGCGCGUGUAGGGGUGCGUGUGCGUGAAGAGGGUUUGCGCUUUUACGCUUUGCGGUGCAUGGGUGAGCAUCGAGGGGCUGGGAUUUUGCAGCCUAAGCAUCGCGAUGCUGCGAGAGUUGCGAGACGCUGUGAGGGGAGCACGCCAGUGAGAAGCACACACACACACUGAGGAGCUGCUGACACCAUGGAUGGAUGCACUGUUUAAACGGCUGUUAGGCUCGUGAAAGGCACAUCCUGACACCAUGGUUCUGACCGCGCUGACCCAGUUUAGCUUCAAGAGUCCUGAUCAUAUAAUCUUCCAAUGUCUGCUCCUCAUCUGCUUUCUGUAAAUCUGGAGAGAACACAGGUUCUGGAUGAUGGGAGCAUCAGUAACACCUUCACCCAUAAAUCCCUGUUCCCAGAGGACAUGGAUCCCCCCGUCAGUCAGAGGGACCCUGAGUCCUGAAGGGACCCUGUGGGUGACCGUACGACGGACCACAGAGGCGAGUGGACCAGAGCCACUGGGAGGCCAUACCUACAGCAGAGAGGCUCACCUUUGACCUUUGUGUCCUCUCGAUGACAAUCGUAGCUUUCAUUUAGAUGAGUACUGAUUCCAGUGAGUGGAGGUGAUUUUAGUAACACUGGCCUUUUUGUUCAUUCUUGUCCUUAAACAUUAUUACAUACUUGAUGUCACUGUCCACAAUUGAUUCUUGGGUUUCUUUUCAAUUGAAAUAAAACCUGAAAACACACACUUUA